UCUCCGUAGGUGAACCUGCGGAGGGAUCAUUACAGAGUUCAUGCCCUACCGGGUAGAUCUCCCACCCUAUGUUAUUAUUACUUUGUUGCUUUGGCGGGCCGUUAGGCUCCGGCCCGACUACCGGCCCCGGCUGGUAAGCGCCCGCCAGAGGACCCAACACCCUGAAUAUUAGUGUCGUCUGAGUACUAUAUAAUAGUUAAAACUUUCAACAACGGAUCUCUUGGUUCUG
rnacentral:misc_RNA from 1 species